UGGAUUAACCUAUCUUGUUUCUUUUCUUCUUCUUUUUGAUCCCAUACAAAUAACAAUCUCGUCGCCGCCGCUGUCCCCGCCGUCCGCCGUCCGCCGUCCGCCGUCCGCCUUGGUGGGUUACUACCGGCGUUCAAUUUUUCUCUAAUUUGGUUAAGAUGGCUUCACUGGAAGAAAGUUUGCAGAGGUUCUAGAAGCAGCAGAAGAAGUGCCAAUCUACACUUAGAGUAUAGCUGCCAAAGCAGGACCUCCGAUGCCAACUCCGUCAAAAUAAUACAUUGCCAACUGCAACAGUGACAGCUAGUGCUAAACCUCCUGCCCCUGCCGUUUAAUUUUCAAAUGACUCAGAAAGGCUUCAACACAUACAUAGCAUAAGAAAAGCUCCCGUGGGGCCUCAGAUAAAACGUGUCAUAGACUUGCUGCUGGAGGUAUAUCCCUACCCUCGAUCUCCUAUUUGCUUUUAGCAAUUUCAUAUAUUUUUUUCCCUGAAUCGUCAUCUUUGUAAUGCCUUUUGCAGAGUUUUGUCAUUGUUUACCUUGUUUUGCUUA